rnacentral:rRNA from 1 species
AUUGAACGCUGGCGGCAUGCCUUACACGUGCAAGUCGAACGGCAGCACGGGUGCUUGCACCUGGUGGCGAGUGGCGAACGGGUGUGUAAUACAUCGGAACAUGUCCUGUAGUGGGGGAUAGCCCGGCGAAAGCCGGAUUAAUACCGCAUACGAUCUUCUUAUGAAACCGGGGGACCUUCGGGCCUCGCGCUUUUGGGUUGGCCGAUGGCUGAUUAGCUAGUUGGUGGGGUAAAGGCCUACCAAGGCAACGAUCAGUAGCUGGUCUGAGAGGACGACCAGCCACACUGGGACUGAGACACGGCCCAGACUCCUACGGGAGGCAGCAGUGGGGAAUUUUGGACAAUGGGCGAAAGCCUGAUCCAGCAAUGCCGCGUGUGUGAAGAAGGCCUUCGGGUUGUAAAGCACUUUUGUCCGGAAGGAAAUCCUUGGCCCUAAUACGGUCGGGGGAUGACGGUACCAGAAGAAUAAGCACCGGCUAACUACGUG